CCUCACCCUGCCAUGGGCACCAGGAUCCUCUGCUGGGUGAGCCUCUGUCUCCUGGGGGCAGGUCACACAGAUGCUGGAGUGUCCCAGUCCCCCAGGCACAUAGUCACAGAGAGGGGACAGGAUGUUGCUCUCAGGUGUGAUCCAAUUUCUGGACACUCGGUCCUUUACUGGUACCAACAGACACUAGGGCAGGGCCCGGAGUUUUUGCUUUACUUCCAAGGCAAGAAUGGCCCAUACACAUCAGGGAUGCCUAAAGAGCGGUUCUCUGCUGAGAGGCCUGAUGGCUCCUACUCUACUCUGAAGAUCCAGCGUGCAGAGCAGGGGGACUCAGCCGUGUACCUCUGUGCCAGCAGCUUAACCACAGCGCUGCAGAGUCACCCUCUUCCUGCUCUCAAACCCUCAUGUGCUCACCUCUCCUCACAGUUCCCAGAGUCCUGA